GACAAUCCCGAAUGGUACUUGCCUGAAAAAGGUGUUCUUUUUUCUUCUUUUCCCACUCAUUUUCACCUACUCUUACAGUAACUCUCUAUUUUCUUUGACCAACUAUUUUCUCUCCUGCGUACUCAGAAACUUCAUCGAAUCAUCUAUGUUUUUUCACUUCCUUUUUGCAGAGGGGUAACAGUACCCUUAUGGAUACAACGUUUGAUGCUAUUAGAGAGUAUCUAAAUGAUUAUGGGGUGAUGAAUUGAUGGUUGUGUCUUUAUAACUUUAAUCGCCUAGUCUUGUGGAUCAACAAUCAACAAGUUGAGUCAACAUGUCGGGCCAAUGAGUCCGCUGAAGUGGUAGGAUGCUGGUGAGGAAGUUGACGUUAAAGAUUCAGUUGAACAGCUGACAUGGCGUUAGGGCUGAUGACGCAUAAGCAGAGAUUGACCCGUGUCACAGUACGGGAGCUCCUAAAGCAAAUGUGCAAGUAAGCAAGAGAUCAAUUCCUCCAUUUCAAACCAUGAGAUCUUCAUGUCUUUAAAUCCAUUGCUUCUUGCCCUUCUCCAAGUGGAUCAUCACAAUCACCCAGCAAAUGUGUGGGGUUUCUUGGCUGGCACAUGCUUGUACUUCUUGGCACUUGAAUUGAAGAUGAAAAUCAAUACUCGUUCGGAAAGUUACUCUCGCAUCCUUGGCCAUGUACUUCUCUUCUCGGGAGCAUUCUCUUCAUUCUCACUAUUGUCAAUCUUUCUCCAACGUUCACCUGGGUGGCUUCCUUUCAUCAUUUUUCCUUUUAUGAUAGCACGUCCCUUACUUGUGCAACUUUGCCAUUGGCUUUUGCAAGUAAUUCUGAAGGUAACUCCUCAGGUUGGUAACUUCUUUGGUAGACUCAUGAGAUCCAUCACGGUACAGCAGCAACAAUUGCCAAAUUAAUAAGAGAGUUUGUAUUAGCAUAUCUGCAUACAGGGG